rnacentral:tRNA from 1 species
UAUAUUUUGGUGUAUGUUGCACAAAGAAUUUUGAUUUCUUUGGUUUUAGUUAAAUUCUAAAAAAUAUAA